rnacentral:rRNA from 1 species
UACGUAGGGCGCAAGCGUUAUCCGGAAUUAUUGGGCGUAAAGAGCUCGUAGGCGGUUUGUCGCGUCUGCCGUGAAAGUCCGGGGCUCAACUCCGGAUCUGCGGUGGGUACGGGCAGACUAGAGUGCAGUAGGGGAGACUGGAAUUCCUGGUGUAGCGGUGAAAUGCGCAGAUAUCAGGAGGAACACCGAUGGCGAAGGCAGGUCUCUGGGCUGUAACUGACGCUGAGGCGACGAAAGCGUGGGGAGCAAACAGG